rnacentral:rRNA from 1 species
GGUGCCAGCAGCCGCGGUAAUUCCAGCUCCAAUAGCGUAUAUUAAAGUUGUUGCAGUUAAAAAGCUCGUAGUUGAAUUUCGGGGUUCCACCGUUGGUCGGGCUAUUGUCUGUACUGGUGUGUGGAAUUUCUACCUUCUGGAGAACUAUCAUGUUAUUUAUUUAGCGUGGUAAGAAACCAGGACCUUUACCUUGAAAAAA